rnacentral:rRNA from 1 species
UACAGAGGGUGCGAGCGUUUAAUCGGAAUUACUGGGCGUAAAGCGCACGUAGUCGGCUUUGCAAGUCGGGUGUGAAAUCCCCGGGCUCAACCUGGGAACUGCAUCCGAGACUGCAUUGCUAGAGUAUGGGAGAGGGAAGCGGAAUUUCUGGUGUAGCAGUGAAAUGCGUAGAUAUCAGAAGGAACAUCAGUGGCGAAGGCGGCUUCCUGGACCAAUACUGACGAUCAGGUGCGAAAGCGUGGGGAGCAAACAGG